rnacentral:lncRNA from 1 species
GGGAGACCUGCAGAGAGUGUGGGUGCUAGAGCCUUCUGCAGGGCUCGGGACACAUUCCCUGACACACCCAGGCCAAUAAUUUGCACUGGGAUACAGAGAGGAGGCUCGGGGCCUCUGUCAACAGAUUGCCAUCCACUUAGAUGAGUAAAUGGCAUCCAGCACAGUCCUGGGCACAUGAAUUGGUGCUGAUGUUGCUGAAGGAGUGAAUGGGGGCCAGAAGGAAGGAGUGCUGGGGAAGAAGUAAGCCAUGGAGCAGGCAGGAACCACGGACAGAGGCCUCCCAGUCCACUUGGGGACAUAUCCGCAGAUGUGUGAACUCAGAGAGAUGUUCAAGUUUCCUAAGAGGGCUUCAAUCAUGGCUCACAGACUACUAAUUUCCAGUUUCUUCUCUGCCAGUCUGGAUGCCCAUGUGAACUUUAGAGAUAUCCAUCAGCUCCAUCAAUUCCCUCAACUACAUCUACCUAGCUUUUGAGCCCAGAAGAACCCAAUCAUGUGUGUUCUCCUCAGCUCCCAGGCUACUGAGCAAUGCUGGAGAAAAAUC